GGACAUAUCACGUUGAAACAUCGGUUCUUGUCCGAUCAUCAAUGUUAAGCAAUGUCGAGCCUGGUCAAUACCUAGAUGAGUGACCGCCUGGGAAUACUAAGUGCUGUAA